GAGGGUAUAGCUCAGUUGGCGGAGUGCUUGCCUACCUAGCAUGCCAUGCACAAGGCCCUGGGUUCAAUCCCCAGCCUCA
rnacentral:tRNA from 1 species